rnacentral:rRNA from 1 species
UCCGUAGGUGAACCUGCGGAGGGAUCAUUACUGAGUUUACGCUCUACAACCCUUUGUGAACAUACCUAUAACUGUUGCUUCGGCGGGUAGGGUCUCCGUGACCCUCCCGGCCUCCCGCCCCCGGGCGGGUCGGCGCCCGCCGGAGGAUAACCAAACUCUGAUUUAACGACGUUUCUUCUGAGUGGUACAAGCAAAUAAUCAAAACUUUUAACAACGGAUCUCUUGGUUCUGGCAUCGAUGAAGAACGCAGCGAAAUGCGAUAAGUAAUGUGAAUUGCAGAAUUCAGUGAAUCAUCGAAUCUUUGAACGCACAUUGCGCCCGCCAGCAUUCUGGCGGGCAUGCCUGUUCGAGCGUCAUUUCAACCCUCAAGCUCUGCUUGGUGUUGGGGCCCUACAGCUGAUGUAGGCCCUCAAAGGUAGUGGCGGACCCUCCCGGAGCCUCCUUUGCGUAGUAACUUUACGUCUCGCACUGGGAUCCGGAGGGACUCUUGCCGUAAAACCCCCAAUUCUCCAAAGGUUGACCUCGGAUCAGGUAGGAAUACCCGCUGAACUUAAGCAUAUCAAUAAGCGGAGGA